CCGAGUCUAGUUUAAACUCAGCAAUGUAGCAGCAACGCCGCGUGAGGGAUGACGGCCUUCGGGUUGUAAACCUCUUUUGGCAGGGAAGAAACGACAGUGACGGUACCUGCAGAAAAAGCGCCGGCUAACUACUUGCCACCACCCGCGGUAAUACGUAAGGCGCAAGCGUUAUCCGGAAUUAUUGGGCGUAAAGAGCUCGUAGGCGGUUUGUCGCGUCCGCUGGGAAAUCCCGAGGCUCAACCUCGGGCCUGCAGUGGGUACUGGCAAACUACAGUGCGGUAGGGGAGAUUGGAAUUCCUGGUGUAGCGGUGGAAUGCACAGAUAUCAGGAGGAACACCGAUGGCGAAUGCAGAUCUCUGGGCCGUAACUGACGCUGACGAGCGAAAGGGUGGGGAGCAAACAGGCUUAUAUACCCUGGUAGUCCAUCCCGUACCCUUUUGGAACUAGUUGUGGGGUCCGUCUCCACGGAUUCUGUGACCCACCUAACACAUUAACUUCCCCGCCUGGUGAGUACGGCCGCAAGGCGAAAACUCUAACGAAUUGACGGA
rnacentral:rRNA from 1 species